rnacentral:lncRNA from 1 species
CAGGAAAUGAGGGCAAAAUAGAAGACCAUCUUCCUUAUGCACCCUGGGUCAUUUCCUGAAGAUUUUUGAAUUGGACACAAAAGGCAGGAUUUUAACAGAGGUGGAAUGCAGCACAUGUGGAAAAGGUUGGACCCACGACCUUUAAUUCUUUUGACCAAGAAGGUGCGAGAUAAGUCUUCUAUCAAGAAGUUGCAGUCGGGGCCAUUAUGAUUAAUGGUGCUUUUUUUUCAUUUUUUUUUUCUUCUUCUUCUUUUUGUAAAAAUCAGGCCAGCUCACUACUGUUCAUGUUGAUUCCCUAACUUCUAUCCCUUUCAAUCUGAUUUUAUAGAAAAAAUACAGAACGUAAGUGAAUACUUUUGGCUCAGCUGUUUCACCUCCUGUUUAUUUCCCUGUUGCUACUCCAAGUGGCAGAAAUGGUUGUUUUGAAGAGUUAGAAAAUAAUAGUUUUGAAAUUUUAUUUUGAUCUGCUUAUUCCCUGAAAAUAAAAGUAAUAAAUAUAAUGAAGUUUGCUAUAUAAAAGGCCUAAAAGAUUACCUGUUGAAAAUCCUUUACAUAGGAGGAAACUAAGGUCUGGAAAGAUUUAAUUUGUCUAAGAUUAUAGACAUUAUUCUAAUAAGUUUCUAAUGAUUUCUAAUUCAAGGUUUCACCUAUCACAAGAAGAAAAGACCUGUAUUUUUAAAGAAACCAAUGUUUCUCUGUUAAUUUGUUUACAAUACAGAAAUUUCCCAAGUUACUAAAUAAUGAAAUAAGAACCUUUCUAGCAUUCUCUUCUAAAAUCAUAUUUUUAAGCUGGGACUUAAAAGUAUAUUAAAAAUGAAGGAUCAUAACAAUGCUUGACAAAAUAUUAUAAGAUGCUGAAAUGUCUUCUGAAUCAUUUGCUCAAAAUUACGUAUCGUGUAGCAGAGUGUAUUUUAUUUUUAUAUCCGGUAGUCCAGCAUAAUUAUUUUAGUGCCCACUGUGCCUACUACAGGUAUUAUAGUCCCCACUUUACAAACUAGAAAAAUGAGAAUAAGUAUUUUAACAAUUUGCUUAAAGUUAUAAAAAUAAAUAAUUGUCCUGGGAUUCAAAUUCAGUUCUAUUCCAGUUGGAAGCUCAGUCUCCUUCUACUACUUGCUUAUAUGUAAAAAGUGCAUUAAAUGAAUUAGGGCCCAUUCCCCACAUAAACAAUGGAGCAGAAAAUUUACUACAGUUGACUUUGAAAUAUAUUCAAAGAAAAACUGAGGGAAUGGUUCUUCUCCCAGGCUCAACCCUUCCACAAACACAGGCUUGGACACACAUGCUGUCACUCAAGUUAUUAUGUGAAAUAGUAUUGCAUGACUACAAAUUGCCUUUCUUAUUGGUUAAAAUUCAAGAAUAUCCACUGAUUUUAUUUCAUAAUUUUAUUUGUAACUUUGGGGAGCAAUUUAAGGCAAUGAAAAUGUUUUCAAAUCAUAGAAUUCUAAAAAUAGUUAUUUUAAAAGGUAAAAAUGAGAUUAUGGAAGCCAAAUGUUUAUUGUGGUGUCUUGCAAAAGAUAUGAGAAAACAGAGAUUUGGGAAUCUGUUUGGUAAUAUUUAGAUUGUUAGGUGGAUUAGAGUGGUUUGGGAAUCUGUUUGGUAAUAUUUAGAUUGUUAGGUGGAUUAGAGUGGUAAUUGGAUCAUUGUUUCUGUUUCUAAAUUUAACAUGAAAAUGAAGUAAAUUAUUCACCAUAGGAAAGCAAUAUCUUUGGAGGAGUUUAGAAGUUAUUUGUAGAGAGACUGCUUAUGUGUUUGCAUGGACCCCACAGUUCUCCCUCUCGCUCAAGUGGUCUUGGUUUGGGUGAGGUUAUAUGGCCACCAUAUUGUGAGAUCACCACAAUAUCACAUGAUAUAUUAUGCAGUUAUUUCUCCAAAUAACUGGAAAAUUCUGACUAUAAAUUGCCUUGUUUUGGGGGCCAGUUCUGUAGUUGCAUGUGAAUACUAAGAUCUGACAUCUAAGUACAGAUUCUGAGACUCCAUUUCUUGUAGAUGCUGCUGGGAUCUUCUGUAAAGCAUGUGAUGGUGGCGAGACAAUCUUGAAUUGAUAUAAUAACCAAUUAAAAGACACCAGCUCCCUGCAUCUUAGUUCAGAGAGUUGGCUCUAACAAUUACUGUGCAGAAGAGGUAAUGUUUUAAGGAGGAGAACAAAGAUUACAAUACUGAAAACCUAUAAUUUGUUUAUUAGAGAAAUGUUAAGUGAAAGCUUACUUUCUAUUCAAACUCUAUGACCUUUGACCUUAACUAAGCUAACAAAGAAAACCCACAUGGGUAUGAGAAACACUGACAAUAGAUCUUAAUAAGCUUUCCAUAUUUCACUUAUUUACUUAAAUUUAUAUAUAAAUAGAUAGAAUGUGCUUACUUAGGUGAUAAUAGUUAUGCUUCACUAUACGGAUUUUAUUUAUAUUAGGUAUUGCAUUAAAUGAAAUUAGACACUUGAAGCCCUUGAGUUGUCUGUAUAUAUGGACACAGCUGGACCAAGUCCUGAUUUACAAGAACCACAAUGGCACAAAGGACAGAAGGUAAAAAAUCGGUUUCCAAAAGAGCCACACUCUAGAGAAGUCAAAUUUUACUUAUUAAAUUUUAUUUUUCAGGUUUUAAUUGUGCUCUAAGUAAACAGGUUGAUGUUAUAACAUAGACACAAUUGCAGUGUUCUUCAUUCUUAAAUCAAUAGACUGGCUGCAUUCUGCAGUGGCUGGGUUUCCUGGGUGGUCUGUAAGAAUUGCCCCAGGAGGUAGGCACUGUCAUAGUCUAAUCCGGAUGUUACAAAGGUAUGUAAAAUGGCAUGUCUUGCAAGUUUAGUUUAUGUGUUGUCUGGUCUUUCAGUGGAGAUAGACAUUCUUUUAAGCUUUUUUGGAACCUCUGUGGAAUGAAUGGACUUGAAAAGCUAUUAACUUUGAUUUUUUUUCAUAAAGGAGAUUAAAUGAGACCCAGAGUUUAUUUAGAAAUCUACAUGAAGAAAUUUACAAGCUGUUUGAAUUAAAAUGCAGGUCUGAUGUUUGUAUGUUGAAUCUACAUAUGACUUUAGUUCUAUUACAAUUUUUUAAAAUUGUCCUUGCAUCACUCAACAAUGUCUAAUGAAAUCAGUUUUUAAUGCUUAUUUUUUACAUUCGGGGAACAAUGAAAGUGAAUUUGGGGCACACUGUGGUUUCAUGAACCGUCAAUUUGGCAAUAUCAGAAAUAGUGAAGUAAUAGUAAUGUUUCCCUGGAGCCAGGAAGCAAUGCUGUGAGGAGCUGCCUCUAAGACAGUUUGGGAGGCAGAGUGGAAUGCCUCCCAGCUGGGGAACUGACAGCCCGUGGUGAGGCAUUCACUGAUGUGGCAGUCCAGCACCUGCCCUGCCUGCAGCGGUGACUGAAAGGGAAGCAGUCCAAACUGUGCAUUCCAGUCCUUACUGGGCCACCUGGAAUUUCAAGCUAAAGCAACUGGCUUUUACUUAAAAUGCAUCGGGAGCCUGGUUCCCCAGCAUGACCUUUCACUCAUUUUAGAGAAUUAAAUAGAGCUUACCAAAGGGUAACCUUCUCUCUUUUUCAUGCACCUGCACACAUCCCAAACCAAGAGUGUGGAAACUAAAUGAUCCUUGAAAGCAGGGAAACAACGUUGACCUUUUGUGAGUUAAGUCUUCCUGGAAAACAUCUGGGAGGAAAGGUCUUGAUGAUAUUGAAAUCAAUGUCAAAAGAACUGAUAAUUUGAGAAAACAUUUAAAGAUUUGGAGUUUAUUUCUAGCAAAGGCCCAAACUCCCAGGAAAGGAAAAACGUGCCCAAAUUAAAUGAAAAAAUAAAAUGUAUUCUUGCCUUUAUACAGAUGGAGUGGAAAGAAAAAAAAAAACACAAAACCCUCUGCCAAGUAAUUAUUUGAGGGUUACUAAAAUGAAUAUUCUAAUAAUUUCAUUAUAACCAGUUAUCUUCAGUGAGAAAUUCUGAGGAGAUGUGCUGCUUAGAAUUAUUCAAGUAAGAAAUCCAAUGUAAAUGGUUUUAAUCCUUUCUAGUCAAAUUAAUAUGGUGUGGCUGUCUUGCGGAUACAGACUCAGUUAUCUUUCUUGUUGACACGUAUAAGAAAAUUCCAACUGGGCACACAUGAUUUAUUCUUUAUAUCUGGAGCCGUGCUGUAAUCAUUCACCCCUUUUCAAGUCUAGUUUGGCAACUUUAUCUUGCUUGCAGUUUGCAUUUUUGAAAGUGAAAAUAUAUUCUGCAGCUUUUGAUGUGUUGAUUGGUAGGAAGGUAAAGACAGCUGCACACAGUCCCCGGAGACAGGGCUCAGUGGCUAAAUGAAGACCUCUAGUGCUUUCUUGUUAGCCAAGAUAGAUCUACAUCCCGAUGAACCACAACUAGUCAAUAGCAGCGGCUCUCAGCGCAUGUGAUCAGAAGCUACAAAUCAGUUUUCCCUGGGACUUAGUUAUCGGCAUAUUGUGCCGUAGGCCAUGGCCUGCUGCUGCUGGCUUGACUGUAAUUUUUCCCCCAGUGAAGUUUUUAAAGUCACAGGCUGAGACUGGAACCGUGCUCUCUUGGCAACAAGGCUGUCACUAGCCUGCCAGAUAUCAAUUGCCCAUCAAAUAAAUUGCUACUUUAAUGUACUCAGCCUCUUACUAUUAAGGAAGUUGGAUGCUAGCAGGAUUUCCCAUUGUUAGGUUUUCCUCUCCAAAAUUUAUUUCCAAAUGUCUCCUUGCUUAUAACCAACACUUGUAUAUUAUACUGAUGGAUGGCCAUGGGUUGGCCUGUUGCAUUUUUAAGUCUCCAUCAUGUUUGUCUGAAGUAUUGCAAUAGCCCCUGUCUAGUUCUCAAUGUAACUAGCUUCAUCCUAUCUAAUCCACCUUACUUCCAGAAGCAUCUUUCUAAAAUAUAGAUCCAGUCUUCUUUAAAAAUAUCUCUUUAUAUAUCUCCUUGGGUCCCUUGAAAAUCUCCUUGUGUUAGGGCCUAGGAUACCCUAAGAAAAUAUCACUUUUAUUAGGGAGAAUUGCUUUCUUUGAUCACAAGACUGAACCCUGAAAGCAGUCAAGUGCCUCUUCUUCUUUGUAGAAUUGUUUAAAUUUAGACACCAAGCCAUGCUUGAAAUACUUGUGUUAUUGACAGCAUCCCCUCUAAGAAAAGCCUGCUGCUAUUGCAUAUCCAGGGACCUGAUGGGGCCACUCUCAUCCUCCUCUGCUCUGAUGGGAUGAGAUUCUCAGGGCAACAUUUUCCACCUUUUCCACCAGUGUGAGCUGUUUGCUGCUCUCUCCACCCCAACACACUAAUACAUAGUCAUAAACAUCAAACUCUGGAGAGCAGUGUUUAUGAAUGAUGCGUGGCACCUUCAUCUCCAACUGCCUACCUCUUCCUGUCCCAGGAUAGUCCAGUAGUGGCAAAUUAAAGCUACUCACAGCUCUCUGAAUAUCUGCCUUUUCAAGCUGGGGUGCAUAGUACUUGCUGUGAUUAUCUUAGUAUGGAUUUUUCUUGUUUGUCUGCCUACUAAACUCUAACUCAUUCUCUAAUUCUCAACUCAAACAUAACCUCUUCCCUGACAUUUACAAAGGCCAAAGGGGGAAAAAUAUGUAUUCUCUCUUUUUUAAUGCUCUUUUUAAUGUAUUUUUAAUGUAUUUUUUAGUUGUAGUUGGACACAAUACCUUUAUUUAUUUAUUUUUAUGUGGUGCUGAGGAUGGAUCCCAGGGACACACACGUGCCAGGCGAGCACUCUACCACUGAGCCACAACCCCAGCACUGCAUUGUUUUUUCAAAUGAGAAAGUUUGUGUCUGUUUAGGAAAGAAGGUGGGAGAAUGGGAGAGAUUGAUAGCCUGGGAUAAUUGAUGGAACCCAGUCCAGAAGGAGAUGAUAAAGGGCAAGAUCAAAGGCACAGAAGGAAAGCCUCAUCUUCCUGCCCAUACCCAGCCCCCAUGGAUCAUAGCCAUUUGUUCCCUUCUUUUUCUCCCCACUCCAAUUGAAUGGUGGCCUAAAUCACCAUCUUCCCUUGCUGGGAUCACUAUAACGUAGUCUUUUAAGUGAUCUUCUUAUUUCCACCCUUGUACAUUUAGAAUAAUUUUACCCCAGCAGUAAGAAUGAGUCUUAAAAUGCUGAUCUGAUCCUGUUACUCCUUGGUCAAGGCCUGCCAUCUUUCUCUUAAAUUCCAGUGGGUCAUAGCCCACAAUGAUCACCCUGCUCUUUGUCUUCCACUUAUCAAAUUACCUUCUGAUGCAAUAUUUAGAUUGGUGAUUUAUAUUGUUUAUUUACACCCCAACUAUCAUGAGAGAUACAUGAAGGAAGUUUUCUUGAGUUUACUUUUCUGUUGUAUUCCUUGUAAAUAAGACACCGAGUGUAUCCUCAAUAAAUAUCUGUUGGAUGAAUUAGUAAAUUUUCCCAUGAAUGCUUGUAUACAAAAAUGGUAUAGAGAUUGGCAAGCACAAACUAUAUGACAUCCAUGCCUUUGGCAAAAAGUUUGGAUAUUUCUGAUAAAAGUUCCUUUCAAUAAAAUUUCUUGACUACUCACUAAACUUACUAAACUUGGAUAACUAUCUCAGAUGACAUUAUGGUUUCUGUGAGGAAGAUAUUAAGGUCAUUAUUAUCACAUAUCCCAGUGAUUAUUUCUUAGAUUUUUGUUUUUCAUUUUACCAAUGAUUAUUGUUUGCCAUUUCCCAAAAUAUACUAGUAGAAUGAUUUUAUAGUAAUGACUUCUAAUAAAAUGACAUGAAAUUGAAAAAAAAACUGCCAAGAGAACAUAAGCAAAAUUGGCAAUGCUUAUAAAUUAUGAUUGAACAAUAAAUAUAAAGAACUUCAUAGUUAGUUGCAUGUUUACAUGUUUAUGUUUUGAUUACUGAAUGUGGAGAACCUGCAAUUAAAAUUUUUAUUUAAAAAAGUUGUCCCUUAUUGGUGUUCAUUUUUUUUUCUUUAUGGACUAUAUUUUAUAGUAACACAUAGUAUAGGAUUACAUUUUUUUAUUUUAAACUCUGAGUUUAUCUCUUAACUCUGUUUAUAACCAGGACCUGAUUUUCAUCUCUUUCAACACAUAUGAGCCAAGAAAACAUUUUCAUGGCAAAAGACAUUUAUACCUCUGUGUCCUGAAAGAGAGCAGUGGUGGCUGUUUGGACUUGAACAUCAUAUUAGGGGAGUCAAGUCACACAUUUCUCAAUGCCAUUAUGCAAACAGAGGAAGAGCAAAAGCCAGAGCCUACAAAAGUAAUUCUUGGAUGGCUUGAGGAGUAUGUAAAAUGUGCUCUAUAAUUUUCAGCCUCCUGCAGUGCAAGUGAUUAGCUAAAGAAACACUUUGAACCUGUUAGUUGUACAUCUUUUAAACCAUUUUAAAUUAUGGAAAAGAUAGUCCUCAAGAAAUUAAUUAAAGUUUUGGACAAUAAUGCAAUCAGGGAUAUCUAUGUUUGCAGUCUUUCCUCUCUGCUUGCAUACAUCUUUCUCUGUCAAGUACAUCAAACAGCUAAUUAGCCCCAUUUUAAGAGCUUCUCUGCUCACAUCACUUAAAAGGAUCUCCAGCCUGCCUUUUAGAGAGUUCACACUUGCUAUGCACUGGCUUUCUGAAUGCUUCUCAGGCUCUGAAAGAAUCUAUUCGUUACCUCUUGGAGGAACUUUAAAAGUCGAUGGACUUCCUUACCACAAAUUGAUUUUCUUUGUUUUCUCACUCAUGAUCAGCAUUUUAUAAAUAAUCUUGUAAAGGUUGCUAAACCUAUUUCACCUAGUAUUUGCUUAUUUUAGUUCAAUACCCUUGGUUUUCUGAAGACAUCUGAAAAACAUUAGAAUGACUGUUUUUUAUUAAGACAUGUGGUACCAGGAGGAAAAAAAAAAUUACGAGACUAAAGUGUUUCUUUUAUUUAGCAUAAAGUGUUACUACCAUGACCAAAGUUCAGUGUUUCAAAUACCCAUUUUAGAAAUAAGUACAGGUCACAUGAUCUAUAGAUAUCACAUGUUAGCACAUGUUAAAAGUUAUAACCAUAACUAGAGACAGAAUUUCUGACUCACAGCUUCCAUGAAUCUGAACUAUCACAUGACAUCUCAAGUUGACUAUAAAAAUAACUCAAGACGCCAGAGUGCUUCAAUUAACAGCUGAAAUAUUGUGAUAUUUUAACACAGGUGAUACAAAGAAUCAGAGCCACAAAUAGAUACAUGGCUGUGAAUUAUAGCUCUUUCCUUAAAGGUUUACUGUUGAAGGCAGAUGUUGAGAAUGCUUUAUCUCCUUAUAAGCUAAAGGAGAAGGGCAGGGUGUGGUGGAUGGUACUGGGAAAUGUUAUAUUUACAUAAUUUCUUGAUCAUUUCAAUAUCUAUAUGAAUACGACUGGAGGAAGUGGGUGUCAAGUACACCAAGAACAACCAAUAGUGAUGGGGAUGGAAACCCUAUAGCAUCUUGAGCAGAACAAGGCACUCAGAGGAGGCAAGUGCAUGUUUAAGAAGUAAUGACAACAAUAUUAGGUAUCCAUUGUGAAACUGGUGUGCUUUAGGCAUCAUUGUACAUGUUUUCAUCAUUGUGAAGGUUUUGAAAAUAUUAACUCAUUAAAUCUUCAAAACAACCUUUUGAGAUUGGUAACUAUUAUUAAAUAUUGUCACCCACUUUCCAGUGUAAAGACCGAUGUGCAGAGAGUCUCAGUAACUUUCUCACAGUCACAUCUAGUAAGGGCUGGGUUUGGGAUUUGACCCCAGGCAGUUGGGCCCCAGAAACCUGUAAUCUUAAAAUCCUGGUGGAAGAGUGAAAGGAAGAAAUAAUGGAAAUAGAUGAAGGAGAUGGGGAUGGGAUGGAAGUGAGAUAAGAAGUUAAAGCAGAAAGGAAGACUCAAUAGAGACUAGAAAAAAGCUAUUUGUUUUAGUGACACCUAAUAUUGUAACUUUAAUGGAGGGUCAAAAUGUUUAAGGAGUAAAGGAAAGAAUGGUGGGAAAAAGAUUUCCCUGAGGAGUGUGAUAUUUGACCUAUGCUUCUGAAGUAAAUCAUGCUGGAUUUAAGAUUUUUUAUUUUGCCUUAAGAUUUCAUUAAAACCGAACCCCUAACUUGUAUUAAUGCUUACUAAAGUAUAUUUUCAAACCAAGCAGAAAAUUAUUUCAACAAAAAUAAAUAUUAUGGUUUCAAAGAAGAGGGAAUGAAAGCCAGGUUGAUACAUGAACUAUACAAAUAAAGUGAAGAAAAAUAAAAACACAUGAACGCUUAAAUAUUUUGCUCAUAUGUUAUUGACAGCAUGAUCAUAAGUAUCUGUACUUUGAAACUAUGCAAUUGAAGCCUUGUGGCUGUCUGCAUGCAGGUAUACCUCAGAACAAUAGAUAAAUGGUUUCAAUGCUCAAAACAACACAAAAUAAGCAUGUUUGUAGGGUGGCAAUUGCUGGACUGAGAUUAUUUUUCAUUCUGUUCUCCUUGGGAACACAUUAUGAAAUAAGUUCCCAUUCCAUCUGGCUUCAGUGGCCUGAACUGGUAAUGGCUGGGUCUUAAGGUGUCUGAGUAACCCAUGCCAUGGGAGAGACUCUGAAAAGUUUAGACUAGAGGCCACAUUCAUUGUCAUCUAAUUCAACCAAUUCAUUUUGAACUUGAGGAAAUUAGUGCCUUAGAAGUUAGGAUUAUUCAUUCAUUCUACCAUAUCACAUUUACUAUGUCCCUGCCCUGUGUCAGGAUCUUGUCUGUGAUUGUUUAAGGUCACAUAGCUAAUGAGUGGUGGUUAGGAGCAGUAAGAUUGGUGGUCACUCCACUUGGGGCUCUUCCCAUCAAAUCAUACCAUUACUCACUCAAUGCUAUUCCUUCAAUGUGGUUUUGAAGAUGUAUCUGGCCUUGGUCAUCUGUACAAUUUCUAGAUGUUGGAUUCUUGCUCUUUGUUUUCAGGAUAGGUCCAGCCUAGCAACAUUUGUCAUGAGAAGUACUGUUCACUGUUGCGAGUUUGCCAUUCUUGGAUUUUGAUAUCCAUGUCCUAUCCCACAGUUCACUACUAAUGAUAGCUUAAAAGUGGCAUAAGUAAAAUUGGAGAUACGCUUAUAAGAACAGCAAUUACAAAUCAUCACUGGUAGUACAUGAUUUUGUUGGCCUCGAGAUCUUUGCUAACCCUGUGCAUUUAAGGUAUGUGUUUAGGUUUUAAAAAAUUUUCUAUACUUGGAAAAGAAGUUACCAUUUGAUUCAAAUGUAUGAUAUGUCAAGAUCAUUGUAUUGUCAUGAGCAACUAAUAAAAAAAAAAAGAAAAAGAAAAAGAAGUUACCUAAGCACAUUAAGCAACCUUUGUUACAACAUUCAAAGUACAUAAUAAUGUAAUUCAAAAGUUGCCCUCAAUUUAUUGUACUCAUAUUUUAAUGGUGAAAUGGGAAGUUUUGGAUUUGAAAUGCAGUAUUUGGUACCAGUGCAUUCCUACUUCCCUCUUGAUUGCUAAAAUAUCAUAUCCAUCUUCCUUUAAUUCUUAUGCUAUUGUUGGAUUAUAUACCUCUCAUCUUUGCCUCCUUUGUCACUUAUAGAUACUUCUAUUCUCCAAUGCUAAUUUCUCUAUGCAUAGUUUGGACCUCAGACCUUGCAUUUCUGGGACUGCACCAUCUAUUAUUGGUGCAAUAACAGUUACUAUCAAUCUAUCAAUGAAGGAUUUUAGAUAACUACAUUAUAUAUGGCUGGUGAAUGCCUGUCAGCUAAUAUGGUAAAUCAACUAAGUAUUGUUCAUGUGUUCCUGAUACAUAAUACCUCUUCACUUAUAUCUUUUGGUUGGUGCUGUUUGACUCACCUGUUUGGUGUUCAUUAUCUUCUUGUUAGAUAAAAUGCAUUGAUUGUGUUGCUAAGGAUCUUUUUGUAUCAGAUGCUAUACACUUAUAUUUGUCUUUGAAUCAUUGGUAAGUUUGACUUAUUUAUUUCUAUUAUUUGGUGUUGUCUAAAUACUUAUAACAAUGCUGAAUGGCAUGUGUGGGCCAGGUGCUGCCAUACCCCAUACCUCACUUCUGGACAUGGAAAUUUUGAGUCUAUUUGCCAACAUAUUUUUAGUGAGUUAUUCAGUCAUUUUUCCUUUAAUCCAGCUGUAUUUUUUAUUCAUUUUCAAAAGAACAUUGUAGGAUUUGGAUCCAAGUUUCCACUAAUGGGAGGGACUUGACACAGCUAAGUUCAGCUUCUGAGAAGGGACAGAAGAGAGUUGGCUUUAUUGCUGAUCCAUCCUGAUCUCUUGGUUUAGUAACUGGGUUUCUGCCUUGUUUCUGUAACCAGUGCCUGCCUUAAAUCCACUUGUUUCACUUGGGUUCCUAUGUUAUUUUUCCAUGCUUUAGAGUCUAUCUUGAACCUUGAUCUUGGAUGACCAUAUAGUUCCUUUAGGACAGUUCUGUGUCCUUGCAUCUACUCUUUAGAUCUGAGACUAUGUUCUUGAAUCCAUACCCAGCAACACGGACCAUAUAUAUUUACAUAGCUCUCUAAUUUAAGCCCUUGUUUUUAGUCAGUUCGCAUAGUAUCAUCAUUUUUGUUUACUCACCUGGUUUCCUAGGUAUGAUUUUGGCCUUGAAAGAUCAGUAAUAGUCUGUUUUAUAUUUUCCACAAUACAGUGGCUGCUUAGCAAAUGUUUACUGAGUAGGUCAACUACAAAUUAUUCUGCCAAUUUUCUACGUAUAGAGUGUCUGUUGCUUUUUUAUUAUUAUUAUUAUUUCUCUGAUACUGUAUUACCUGUUAUCACUUUGGAAACUACCUGAUCACUGCCAUCUAUCAUUUAUUACCAUAAGCCCAAUAUCUCAAUUACCAUAACCCCCAUUAUCUGAAUUACCAUAACCCCAGCAUCGGAUUUCCACGCCUUGCAAUUUCUGUGUUGUUCUCCAGUGCAUGAUUCCCAACAGUGGGCACAUUUACCUCUCAGCUUCCUAGUUCCAGCCUCUCUUGACUGGCUUCUUCAUUGCAUUGGCCUACUGAACUCAAAAGUCCUGUUCUGGCAUAUUGAAAUUACUUUUAGUUAAUAUUUUUGAGUGCUACUUAAAUAAUGUAUUAUUCUAAAUAAAAGAUGUUCAUCUAACCAUUAAAAAACAGGGUCAUAAAAAUUCUAAAGAAAUAGAUGAAAGUAAUUUUGGUAUCAUUUCUACUAGAUCUGAACGGUUAUGAAGCCACAUAUUUCCCCAGGUAGCACCAUAAAUAGUAGGAAAUUCAGGAAUUUUCACAUUUAUCAUAGGCUUUAUUGUAACCAUUAAAUUUUAGGUUCUAAGGGUCUGACAAAAAGAACUUAUUCUAAACGGUGCAAAAGAAGACCAAGUGAGCUGGGCGUGGUGGCACACACCUGUAAUCCAGCAGUUCAGGAGGCUGAGACAGGAGGAUUGCAAGUUCCAAAUUAACUUCAGCAAUUUAUUGAGGCCCUAAGCAACUUAGAGAUGCUGUCUCUAAUAAAAAAUAAAAAAGGAUGGGGGAUGUGGCUCAGUAGUUAAGCACCCCGGGGUUCAAUCCUUGGCACCGAAAGAAGGAAAGAAAGAGAGAGAGAGAAAGAAAGAAGGAAGAUGACAGAAUGAAUAGAUUAAUCUGCUGUGUUUCACAAACCUUUUUGUCUAUGUGCUAAAUUCAAACUUGUGAGAGAGUUCUGACAUCUCUACACAUAAGAAAAGCUUAUGAACAUUUCAAGAAACUUUUGUGGAAUUCAUGACAUUCAGUAUAAUUGCCUCAAAAUUACCCUCUGUGAGUUCCUCACUGGAAUUUCUUAUAAUCACAAUGUAUGUAUAACAUUUUAACCUAAAAUUUUAACACAACAGGUAUAGGAGUAUGAUCCACGAGGGACACUGAGAAAAUGCCAUGUUUACUGGGUUCAGUCUGCCAACACUGACAUCACUAAAGCAUCACAAAGCAAGCAAGACUAUCAUUACUAUCAAAAUGAAAUUGUAAAUCAGAUGGAUAUAUUAACUACAGUUUUCAAGAAAAAGUACAAUAAAGAAGAAUGAUCAAGAGAGAAAUGCUUAUAAUUCCAAGGACACACUUCAUCAGACACUGCAAAUAUUACAGCAGAAUGAAUUGACAUCAUGGUAG